rnacentral:lncRNA from 1 species
AAUCAACUCUAAUUAAAUAUAAGGACAAAAACCUAAUAAAAAAAAUAACCAAAUGAGACUUUUUUCAAAAAAAUAUGACAAAAUAAAAAUAAAGAAACAUGUAUAUUAAAAAGAAACUAGAAUGGCUAUUAUCAAAAGACAAGAAAACUAAAGACUCUUGAAUCUAGACUAGAACAAGAAAAGAGUUGACAAAAAUAAAGAAGACUUCACUCUU